rnacentral:misc_RNA from 1 species
CUGUAUAAGUAGCUCAGUUUUCAAACGCCGACUUGCUUCAUGCUCAGUGCGACCUUCACCCCGUUGACUAAUAAUUGCAUCAAUUUCAUCAAUAAAUAUGGUUGAGGGAGCAUGAUGCCUAGCAAGUUCAAAUAACACCUUUAUUAACUUCUCUGAAUCACCACGCCACUUGCUAACAACAGAAGAUGCCGAAAUAUUGAAAAAUGUGGUUUUGCACUCUGUAGCAACAGCCUUUGCAAGCAUUGUCUUUCCUGUCCCGGGAGGACCAAAAAGAAGAAUGCCUUUCCAUGGUGACAGAAGACCAGUAAAGUACUUGGGAUAUUUUAUUGGCAUGACAACUGCUUCUUUCAGUAAACGUUUGGCAUUCUCUAACCCUUUAAUGCUUUCCCAUUUGACAUCAGGGUUCCCACGAACAAUAUCCCUGCAUAAACCCUCAGCUAAAGCGCGAGUUUCAGCAGAAUCAAAAGCAGGAAGCAAAGACUUCUGCGGUUUUGCAUCAAUCCCGUCAGAUAAAACUCCAUUCGAGUGGUUUGUGCUCCUAUCUUGGUUUCUGUACUGCUCAUAAAUGGCCAUAUCCGAUGUGUUCUUGACAUGACCAUUUCCAUUUGAUGAAGCGCUCGACGAAGAACUCCCGUUUGGCACUGAUUUAUCAGCAGCCGAUUCGCCGUUUUGCUUCUCCGGUAUCUUCUUUCUCCCAAACUGAAAAGACCACCGAGUGAGGGAAGGUUCAUCGGCCAUUGUUGACAAUCGAGAUAGAGAGAGAUAAAGAAACAGAGAGAUCAGUCUAAGAAGAAUGUCUCUCUGUUUCUCUUUCUCGCCGUUUAGAUUUGGAUCUUUUCUGGGUACAGCUAAG